UACAGAGGUCUCAAGCGUUGUUCGGAUUCAUUGGGCGUAAAGGGUGCGUAGGCGGCGCGGUAAGUCGGGUGUGAAAUCUUGGAGCUUAACUCCGAAACUGCAUUCGAUACUGCCGUGCUUGAGGACUGGGAGAGGAGACUGGAAUUUACGGUGUAGCGGUGAAAUGCGUAGAUAUCGUAAGGAAGACCAGUGGCGAAGGCGGGUCUCUGGA
rnacentral:rRNA from 1 species